rnacentral:rRNA from 1 species
AUUGAACGCUGGCGGCAGGCCUAACACAUGCAAGUCGAACGAGUGGCGGACGGGUGAGUAAUGUCUGGGAAACUGCCUGAUGGAGGGGGAUAACUACUGGCAACGGUAGCUAAUACCGCAUACCAUCGGAUGUGCCCAGAUGGGAUUCGCUAGUGGGUGGGGUAAAGGCUAACCUAGGCGACGAUCCCUAGCUGGUCUGAGAGGAUGACCGGCAACACUGGAACGGAGAAAGGGUCCAGACUCCUAGGGGAGGCAGAAGUGGGGAAUAUUGGACAAGGGGCGAAAGCCUGAUGCAGCAAUGCCGCGGGGAGGAAGAAGGCUUUCGGGUUGUAAAGUACUUUCAGCGGGGAGGCGGUACCCGAAGAAGAAGCACCGGCUAACUCCGUGCCAGCAGCCGCGGUAAUUC